ensembl:lncRNA
CACACCAAAACACGACACAGACCAUGACAGGUUAUUCUUAACAAGAACAUAAUCAUUAGCCUGCCCCCAUUUACUUUUUAACCGUACCCCCGCCCCUCCCUGUAGAGUAUCCUGCAGGCCCAGUGGUGACAACAGCUGAGGGCAAUUACAAUCAAAAGGGGCGGGUGGAUAAAGCCUGUGCUCUCCCACACCACUUGGCUCUGGAGAGGGAAAGUAUGAAAAAUCAAUUGAGAGAAUUGGGUAUGCAGGAGUAUACUUUGGAAAAUAUUUUAAGUUUAAUGAAGAGGAAUUGUAUAAAAGUAUUGUUUGGCUUUUUGAGAGAAACAGGGUUAUAUGGUAGGAUAUAGAGUAGAAAGAAGGUGUGAAUGAGUGAGUGUUUGGAUAUUUUUGUUUUUGAUUCGUUAACUGGAUCAGAAGAGGGCGGUAAUGCACCAAGUUGUGGAUGCCAACCGCCGAAAAACCCCAAGAAGAAGAAGAAGACCACUUGGCUCUAAGCCACGGUUGAUACUGGUUGUAUCGUGUUUGGGCGCUACGCCAUUGAUGUGGACACUACCUGUCACAUUUGUAGGCUUUCGUGCCAUUGUUUGUAGGCUCUUUAGCCAUCAUUUAGUUGUCUUGCUGGUCUUGCCAGGCAAGUUACAUUUCCCUGGCGAUAGUCGUUUGCUCGUGUUGCAUUAGUUUGUAUUAUCACGCUGAGUGGGUUAUUGUUUGGUGCUUGUUUGUCUUACUGUUGUUCCUGUUUUGUUCUCCCUUUCCCUUAUCCCUUUCCAGUCAAUAAACAUUAUUUACUUUAGAAAACGUGUUUGCUUUGAAU